rnacentral:rRNA from 1 species
CCUACGGGAGGCUGCAGUGAAGAAUAUUGGUCAAUGGGCGGAAGCCUGAACCAGCCAAGUAGCGUGCAGGAUGACAGCCCUACGGGUUGUAAACUGCUUUUAUACGGGAAUAACGCGCCUUGCGUGUAGGGCUUUGCAUGUACCGUAUGAAUAAGGACCGGCUAAUUCCGUGCCAGCAGCCGCGGUAAUACGGAAGGGGCGGGCGUUGUCCGGAUUUGUUGGGGUUAAAGGGAGCGUAGGCCGCAUGUCAAGCGUGCUGUGAAAUGUCCGGGCUCAACCCGGGCCUUGCAGCGCGAACUGGCGGGCUUGAGUCCGCGGAAAGCAGGCGGAAUUCGUGGUGUAGCGGUGAAAUGCGUAGAUAUGAGGAAGAACCCUGAUGGCGAAGGCAGCUUGCUGGAGCGGAACUGACGCUGAGGCUCGAAAGCGCGGGUAUCGAACAGGAUUAGAUACCCGAGUAGUC